rnacentral:lncRNA from 1 species
GAUUUUUGUUGAUCUUUGCCUCCAGCUGGAAUGUUUUGCUCAUUCCCCUGCGGAGAUCUUUCUUAUCCUGGCUUUCUCUUUUGAGAUGUAGUACCGGAUGUUUGUACUUGUUCGAUGGACUUGUUGGUGUUAGAGAUACCUGUUUGUCAGCAUUCAUCAUAUAUAAAACUAUGCAUAUGUGCAUAUAGUUUCCAAACAUUCAGAUAUUCAUAUCGCAUUCUUUU